UACAGAGGUCUCAAGCGUUGUUCGGAUUCAUUGGGCGUAAAGGGUGUGUAGGUGGCGCGCUAAGUCGGGUGUGAAAUUUCGGAGCUUAACUUCGAAACUGCAUUCGAUACUGCCGUGCUUGAGGACUGGAGAGGAGACUGGAAUUUACGGUGUAGCGGUGAAAUGCGUAGAUAUCGUAAGGAAGACCAGUGGCGAAGGCGGGUCUCUGGACAGUUCCUGACACUGAGACACGAAGGCCAGGGGAGCAAACGGG
rnacentral:rRNA from 1 species